rnacentral:rRNA from 1 species
AGACUGCCGGUGACAAAACCGGAGGAAGGUGGGGAUGACGUCAAGUCCUCAUGGCCCUUAUAGGUGGGGCUACACACGUCAUACAAUGGCUGGUACAAAGGGUUGCCAACCCGCGAGGGGGAGCCAAUCCCAUAAAGCCAGUCGUAGUCCGGAUCGCAGUCUGCAACUCGACUGCGUGAAGUCGGAAUCGCUAGUAAUCGUGGAUCAGCAUGUCACGGUGAAUACGUUCCCGGGUCUU